GGUGAUCGCUCAGCACUUACGAGGCAAGCAUCACCCAUGCGACUUGCACCUCAAGAUGACGUUGCCAGUGCAUCUACAACUACCACCGCCGCCCCAACUACUGCCAGAGCACGUCAACCGGAAACGAGGAUGCUGAGGAGAUUGACACCAUAAUUUAGCGAAGUGUGACGUCGCAGUUCCAACACAAGAUUUCAAUGGAAAACUAUGGCGACGAAAUUGCGCUCUAAUACACUAGAGUUGUGUGAUUCUUUAUGUUAUAGAUGAAAAAAGAAUAGACAAAUUAAAUAUUUUGCUCAA